rnacentral:rRNA from 1 species
GGUUAAGCGACUAAGCGUACACGGUGGAUGCCCUGGCAGUCAGAGGCGAUGAAGGACGUGCUAAUCUGCGAAAAGCGUCGGUAAGGUGAUAUGAACCGUUACAGCCGGCGAUGUCCGAAUGGGGAAACCCAGUGCAAUUCGUUGCACUAUCGUUUGAUGAAUACAUAGUCAAACGAGGCGAACCGGGGAACUGAAACAUCUAAGUACCCCGAGGAAAAGAAAUCAACCGAGAUUCCCCAGUAGCGGCGAGCGAACGGGGAGCAGCCCGGAGUCUGAAUCAGCUUGUGUGUUAGUGGAAGCGUCUGGAAAGUCGCAGGGUACAGGGUGAUACUCCCGUACACUAAAACACACAGGUUGUGAACUCGAAGAGUAGGGCGGGACACGUGGUAUCCUGUCUGAAUAUGGGGGGACCAUCCUCCAAGGCUAAAUACUCCUGACUGACCGAUAGUGAACCAGUACCGUGAGGGAAAGGCGAAAAGAACCCCGGCGAGGGGAGUGAAAAAGAACCUGAAACCGUGUACGUACAAGCAGUAGGAGCCCACUAGUUGGGUGACUGCGUACCUUUUGUAUAAUGGGUCAGCGACUUAUAUUCUGUAGCAAGGUUAACCGUAUAGGGGAGCCGCAGGGAAACCGAGUCUUAACUGGGCGUUAAGUUGCAGGGUAUAGACCCGAAACCCGGUGAUCUAGCCAUGGGCAGGUUGAAGGUUGGGUAACACUAACUGGAGGACCGAACCGACUAAUGUUGAAAAAUUAGCGGAUGACUUGUGGCUGGGGGUGAAAGGCCAAUCAAACCGGGAGAUAGCUGGUUCUCCCGAAAGCUAUUUAGGUAGCGCCUCGUGAAUUCAUCUUCGGGGGUAGAGCACUGUUUCGGCUAGGGGUCAUCCCGACUUACCAACCCGAUGCAAACUACGAAUACCGAAGAAUGUUAUCACGGGAGACACACGGCGGGUGCUAACGUCCGUCGUGAAGAGGGAAACAACCCAGACCGCCAGCUAAGGUCCCAAAGUCAUGGUUAAGUGGGAAACGAUGUGGGAAGGCCCAGACAGCCAGGAUGUUGGCUUAGAAGCAGCCAUCAUUUAAAGAAAGCGUAAUAGCUCACUGGUCGAGUCGGCCUGCGCGGAAGAUGUAACGGGGCUAAACCAUGCACCGAAGCUGCGGCAGCGACACUAUGUGUUGUUGGGUAGGGGAGCGUUCUGUAAGCCGUUGAAGGUGGCCUGUGAGGGUUGCUGGAGGUAUCAGAAGUGCGAAUGCUGACAUAAGUAACGAUAAUGCGGGUGAAAAACCCGCACGCCGGAAGACCAAGGGUUCCUGUCCAACGUUAAUCGGGGCAGGGUGAGUCGACCCCUAAGGCGAGGCCGAAAGGCGUAGUCGAUGGGAAACAGGUUAAUAUUCCUGUACUUGGUGUUACUGCGAAGGGGGACGGAGAAGGCUAUGUUGGCCGGGCGACGGUUGUCCCGGUUUAAGCGUGUAGGUGUGUGUUCCAGGUAAAUCCGGUUCACUUUAACACUGAGGCGUGAUGACGAGGCACUACGGUGCUGAAGUGACAAAUGCCCUGCUUCCAGGAAAAGCCUCUAAGCAUCAGGUAACAUCAAAUCGUACCCCAAACCGACACAGGUGGUCAGGUAGAGAAUACCAAGGCGCUUGAGAGAACUCGGGUGAAGGAACUAGGCAAAAUGGUGCCGUAACUUCGGGAGAAGGCACGCUGAUGGUAAGUGAAGCGACUUGCUCGUGGAGCUGAAAUCAGUCGAAGAUACCAGCUGGCUGCAACUGUUUAUUAAAAACACAGCACUGUGCAAACACGAAAGUGGACGUAUACGGUGUGACGCCUGCCCGGUGCCGGAAGGUUAAUUGAUGGGGUUAUCCUCGCGGAGAAGCUCUUGAUCGAAGCCCCGGUAAACGGCGGCCGUAACUAUAACGGUCCUAAGGUAGCGAAAUUCCUUGUCGGGUAAGUUCCGACCUGCACGAAUGGCGUAAUGAUGGCCAGGCUGUCUCCACCCGAGACUCAGUGAAAUUGAACUCGCUGUGAAGAUGCAGUGUACCCGCGGCAAGACGGAAAGACCCCGUGAACCUUUACUAUAGCUUGACACUGAACACUGGUCCUUGAUGUGUAGGAUAGGUGGGAGGCUUUGAAGUGUGGACGCCAGUCUGCAUGGAGCCAUCCUUGAAAUACCACCCUUUAAUGGCUGGUGUUCUAACGUGGGCCCCUAAUCGGGGUUGCGGACAGUGUCUGGUGGGUAGUUUGACUGGGGCGGUCUCCUCCUAAAGAGUAACGGAGGAGCACGAAGGUCAGCUAAUCCUGGUCGGACAUCAGGAGGUUAGUGCAAUGGCAUAAGCUGGCUUGACUGCGAGCGUGACGGCGCGAGCAGGUGCGAAAGCAGGUCAUAGUGAUCCGGUGGUUCUGAAUGGAAGGGCCAUCGCUCAACGGAUAAAAGGUACUCCGGGGAUAACAGGCUGAUACCGCCCAAGAGUUCAUAUCGACGGCGGUGUUUGGCACCUCGAUGUCGGCUCAUCACAUCCUGGGGCUGAAGUAGGUCCCAAGGGUAUGGCUGUUCGCCAUUUAAAGUGGUACGCGAGCUGGGUUUAGAACGUCGUGAGACAGUUCGGUCCCUAUCUGCCGUGGGCGCUGGAGAAUUGAGGGGGCUGCUCCUAGUACGAGAGGACCGGAGUGGACGCAUCACUGGUGUUCGGGUUGUCAUGCCAAUGGCAUUGCCCGGUAGCUAAAUGCGGAAGAGAUAAGUGCUGAAAGCAUCUAAGCACGAAACUUGCCCCGAGAUGAGUUCUCCCUGACCCUUUAAGGGUCCUGAAGGAACGUUGAAGACGACGACGUUGAUAGGCCGGGUGUGUAAGCGCAGCGAUGCGUUGAGCUAACCGGUACUAAUGAACCGUGAGGCUUAACCUU